rnacentral:rRNA from 1 species
AUUGAACGCUGGCGGCAUGCCUUACACAUGCAAGUCGAACGGCAGCGCGGACUUCGGUCUGGCGGCGAGUGGCGAACGGGUGAGUAAUACAUCGGAGCGUACCCUGUUGUGGGGGAUAACUAGUCGAAAGAUUAGCUAAUACCGCAUACGACCUGAGGGUGAAAGUGGGGGACCGCAAGGCCUCACGCAGCAGGAGCGGCCGAUGUCGGAUUAGCUAGUUGGUGGGGUAAAGGCACACCAAGGCGACGAUCAGUAGCUGGUCGGAGAGGACGAUCAGCCACACUGGGACUGAGACACGGCCCAGACUCCUACGGGAGGCAGCAGUGGGGAAUUUUGGACAAUGGGGGCAACCCUGAUCCAGCAAUGCCGCGUGUGUGAAGAAGGCCUUCGGGUUGUAAAGCACUUUUGUCCGGAAAGAAAUCGCGCUGGUUAAUACCUGGCGUGGAUGACGGUACCGGAAGAAUAAGCACCGGCUAACUACGUGCCAGCCGCCGCGGUAA